AUUGAACGCUGGCGGCAGGCUUAACACAUGCAAGUCGAGCGGGGUGAUGGUGCUUGCACUAUCACUUAGCGGCGGACGGGUGAGUAAUGCUUAGGAAUCUGCCUAUUAGUGGGGGACAACAUCUCGAAAGGGAUGCUAAUACCGCAUACGUCCUACGGGAGAAAGCAGGGGAUCACUUGUGACCUUGCGCUAAUAGAUGAGCCCAAGUCGGAUUAGCUAGUUGGUGGGGUAAAGGCCUACCAAGGCGACGAUCUGUAGCGGGUCUGAGAGGAUGAUCCGCCACACUGGGACUGAGACACGGCCCAGACGCCUACGGGAGGCAGCAGAGGGGAAUAUUGGACAAUGGGGGGAACCCUGAUCCAGCCAUGCCGCGCGUGUGAAGAAGGCCUUAUGGUUGUAAGGCACUUUAAGCGAGGAGGAGGCUCUUUUGGUUAAUACCCAAGAUGAGUGGACGUUACUCGCAGAAUAAGCACCGGCUAACUCUGUGCCAGCCGCCGCGGUAA
rnacentral:rRNA from 1 species